AUCACGUGAUCCACAACAUGGGCCAACCUCCAGCAGAAAACAGAUCCCAGUAACAGAGACAUCAGCUGAGCCUGCUUCCUUGUUGGCCAGAAACUUCCCUAGUUUUAGCUGGGAGAGUCCCCACAUCCUGGAAAAGCCUUCCAUCCUAGACAGAAUCUACUGAGAACGGAGUGGUGUUCAGGCGGAGAGGAACCACGACCGGAGAGUGCAGUACAGAAAGCCAUCAAAGAUACCAUGAGAGAAGCCAGUUAGUUGAAAGACUGGAAACCGCUCACACAGGGGACAUGUGGGACACAGAGAAAGCCUGGAAAAAAGCACGUCUAUCCAAAUGUGUCACAAGGCUGAGAUGGUGUGAAUGGCCUGUGAAGGGUCACGAGGUCCCAGUCCUUAGCUGCUCUCCAGCCCAUUUCCAUCCUUGGGAGUACCUUUGCUUUCUAAAUGAGCAGCUUCUGUUUCUGUCCCUAUCCAUGUGUCCCUAGUCCCAUUCGUUGUCUCUGCAUAUAAUAAGCACCUUAAAAUCUCUGAGGUGCCCUCUGAACUCAGAGCCAUGCAUGUAAACCUCCCAUGGCCUCUGAUUGCCCCUGGCUGGGAAGUUUGCUUUGGUGGCUCAGCUGGGCCACUGCCCUUUCUGGAUUGUGGGUACCCUCAUCCACACCAAAUUCCCUUCUGGUCACCAGAGGUCCCUGAGGUAAUAUUAUGUACUCCACUAAGAGCCAAAGCGAGCCUACCUGACCGCAUGACCCCACCUGACUUCUGCAGGCCACAGAGGCCAAGCCAGGUAAAUACCCCCCACUCCUGGCUCUGCUGUUCAGCUUCGUGCCCACUGGACAUAUGCCAGUCAUGACCUCGAGGGCAGGGGCCCCAGGACCUCGCCUACCUCAUAGGGAUCCUAACUCUUUCUUUCUCUGUUUCCUGCAUGGCACAAGGCCACAGGGCAGCUACCAGGACAGGCCACGAGUCUGGGACCUAAAAAGUCACUUUCGAGGCAGUUGUUAUAGUGGCCGUAAUUCCCAGGGGGAAGUCGCACCUUCGGUAAUGAGGUGUUGUGGCGGGGUAUCCAGGACAGACCUGGACAGCUGAUACAGCUCUAAGACAGAUUCUCCACUGUCUGGCUCCGCCGCCUCCCAUUUGGCACCAGUAGGCCCAGGAGAGUGCUCGUGGGAAACAGCCACAGGCGGUGGGUGACCUGUGAAAUCGGGAGCCGCAGGAAGAAAACAUCUUGUCACUGAGAAAAUAUGCUUAUGCUUAUUGGAACAGCAUUUUUAGGCUCAUGUAAAAUAAACAUAUUGGGUCGAACGUUGCUACAAGCCCUGCAUUUACAAAGAGGCAAGGCUGGAGGUAUGAAAUUGCGGCCGGGAAUUGCCAAGUCUGAAGAAUUACGGCAGGAUUAGCUUCUUGAACUGCAAAUUGGAAAAUUCGGGGAUGUGUGGCACCACCUCAGAGGCCCGGGCCUCUAAACGAAAUUUAUUAUUUCUGUAAAAUCUGGAAAUAACAUCUUCAGGGAUAACAAAUAUACAGUGAAAGCAUG
rnacentral:lncRNA from 1 species